rnacentral:tRNA from 1 species
GGACUAUAGCUAAGCGGUAGGGCACCUCGUUUGAUGACCGAGAAUGUCUACGGUUCGAAUCCGCAUAGUCCCA